UUUUAAGUAAAUUUACCAUCGGUGGGUAAACUCACAAUCCUAGUCAAUUAGGAUUGGAGUCGAGUGCACCUUCCACGUGCGGGACUACAACUCACAAACUCAGUGUUGACAGUUUAAUAAUACAAAAGUUGAAAUACUUACACCACUUGGUCACUGCGGUUCCUUGGUGUAUAUCAAUUAGUAGGUAGGCCACCAACUUAGAAUUUUCCACGAAUAUUAUAUUACCGACUGUGACUUUAGAAAUAUGUAACAUCAAAUCAAGAGUCCGAAG
rnacentral:lncRNA from 1 species